UCCUCAGUAGUUCAGUGGUAGAGCUAUCAGUUGUUAACCGACUGGUCUUAAGUUCAAAUACUACUUGAGGAG
rfam:Solanum tuberosum cultivar DM 1-3 516 R44 scf00296_32, whole genome shotgun sequence.